rnacentral:rRNA from 1 species
UACGUAGGGUGCAAGCGUUGUCCGGAAUUAUUGGGCGUAAAGAGCUCGUAGGCGGUUUGUCGCGUCGAAUGUGAAAACCCGGGGCUCAACCCCGGGCCUGCAUUCGAUACGGGCAGACUAGAGUUCGGUAGGGGAGACUGGAAUUCCUGGUGUAGCGGUGAAAUGCGCAGAUAUCAGGAGGAACACCGGUGGCGAAGGCGGCAUCCUGGACCGGCAUUGACGCUGAGGAGCGAAAGCUAGGGGAGCAAACGGG